AGCCUCACUCUAGCCCGACCACACCCUCACACAGCCCACAUACCCAAAUAAACUAUCCAACCCAACUAAAACAUUUCACUCACUUAGUAUAGGCGAUAGAAAAGAUCCUCCGGCGCCAUAGAGCCCCCGUACCGCAAGGGAAAGAUGAAAUAACAAUGAAACCAAAAGCAUAAGACAGUAAAGCUAAACCCUUGUACCUUUUGCAUCAUGAUUUAGCAAGAAUUAAUCAAGCAAAGCGACCUUAAGUUUGCCACCCCGAAACCCGAGCGAGCUACUCACAAGCAGCUAAUCAAUGAGCCAACCCGUCUCUGUGGCAAAAGAGUGGGAUGACUUGUUAGUAGAGGUGAAAAGCCUAACGAGCCGGGUGAUAGCUGGUUGCCUGUGAAAAGAAUAUAAGUUCACCCCUGACUACACCCCUAAAUAACCACCCCCGACACAACUACUAAUGAGAUUAGUCAGGAGCUAUUUAAAGGAGGUACAGCUCCUUUAAAAAAGAAUACAACCUCACCAAGCGGAUAAAUACUCCCCACCCCCAACUGUUGGCCUUCAAGCAGCCACCAACAAAGAGUGCGUCAAAGCUCCACCAUAAAAAAUACCCCCAACAAAGUGAAUCCCCACCCACUAACAGGCCAACCUAUCCCGAUAGGAGAAUUUAUGCUAAAAUAAGUAACUAGGAACACUCCUCUCAAGCGCAAACUUAUAUUUUCCAAAUUAUUACCCAGAGCACGAUACAGACACUCCUACAAGCACACCAUAUCCCCUAACCCUGUUAAACCAACUAAGGAGCGCAUGCAUAGAAAGACCCAACUCUGUAGAAGGAACUAGGCAAACCUAAGGCCCGACUGUUUACCAAAAACAUAGCCUUCAGCCACACAAGUAUUGAAGGUGAUGCCUGCCCAGUGACUCAGGUUUAACGGCCGCGGUAUCCUAACCGUGCGAAGGUAGCGCAAUCAAUUGUCCCAUAAAUCGGGACUUGUAUGAAUGGCUAAACGAGGUCUUAGCUGUCUCCUACAGACAGUCAGUGAAAUUAAUCUCCCUGUACAAAAGCAGGGAUAAUACCAUAAGACGAGAAGACCCUGUGGAACUUAAAAAUCAGUGGCCAACCAAACACCCAAUCCCACCCCACUGGGGCAUACAACCAACCCACCAUAAUGGCCUAGCAUUUUUUGGCUGGGGCGGCCCUGGAGAAAAACAAAUCCUCCAGAAACAAGAUCUACCGCAUCUUUACUAAGAGCUACCCCUCAACGUGCUAAUAGCACCCAGACCCAGAAUAACUGACCAAUGAACCAAGCUACCCCAGGGAUAACAGCGCAAUCCCCUCCAAGAGCCCAUAUCGACAAGGGGGUUUACGACCUCGAUGUUGGAUCAGGACAUCCUAAUGGUGCAGCCGCUAUUAAGGGUUCGUUUGUUCAACGAUUAACAGUCCUACGUGAUCUGAGUUCAGACCGGAGCAAUCCAGGUCGGUUUCUAUCUAUGACAAGAUCUUUCCUAGUACGAAAGGACCGGGAAAAUAAGGCCCAUACCACAAGCAUGCCUUCCCCUUAAGCAAGGAAUUCAACUGAACUGCCAAAAGGACUUACAUAACAACAUCCUAAAAAAGGACAG
rnacentral:rRNA from 1 species